rnacentral:lncRNA from 1 species
UUAAAAGAAAAUUAUAUUAAAUUUUUUUUGAAAAAUUUUAAAACAAAAAAUAACAUUGCAAAAUAAAAAAUACUGGAAAGAGGAGUGAGGACACAUGGCCACUCACCCACCUCAUACCCCACCCCUACUGCUCGCCUCUCUCUCUAAAAACCCAUCCCCUCUCUUCCUCUCCAUUUGGCCUGGUCCGGUAAGACCCACCCGAAAAUGUAGGCGAGGAGCCUGGCACUGCCUAAAUAAAUUAUGUAAAGGCCUGGGCUGACCCAACCCAUAAGAAUCUUCUGGGCUAGGCCCGGGGCGGCCCAAAUAAAGGUCCCGCUGGGCCCAAUUAGAACGUGUGUUUAGUUUUUUAAGUCUCUCUCUUCAAACUUUUUAAGUCAAACUUUAAACAAUCAAAGUAAAACUCACCUUCAAAUAGUAUCAAAAAAUGUGGUUUCAAUACUAAAAAUCUUUACAAAGGCCUUAAAAUAUAUUUUCCAUAUCAAAUUAUAAAAAGCUUAAAAAAUGGUGUAGAUCGCACAGAUCUAUGAAAACUUAAAAUUCUUGAAAAUUGACAAUCCAAAAAUGUAUUACAAGAUGCACUAUUUUCAAAACUUGAAAUCCAUUUUUUUUCUCAUAUUCAUGUAUCUUGAAGUCGAAAUGAUCAAUUUGAAGAUAUUUGGGCAUCAAAACAACAUCUUUUAGUGACAUUUUUUAUGUGCGUUUGGAUUUGAUUGUUUACAGCGUCACAAUUAUACAAGCUUUUUUCAUAUAUAUAAAGCUAAAUAUUUUUUCAAAAAAAUUAAAACCCUUCAAAAAUUAUUGAAAAAUUAAAAAUGUUAGAAAAAAAGGUGAGUCUAAGUGGGAACUCACCACUUCUCUCUUUCUCUCUCUAAAAAUCCCCUCUCUCUUUAAAACCGCAUUCUACAUUCCACUCCCCUUUUUAUCUCUCUAAAAAUCCCCUCUCUUUUUUACAGCGGCAUUUUAAAUUCUACUUCUCCUUUUCUAUCUCUAAAAACCUUUUUUCUCUCUCUAAAGCCGCAUUCUACAUUAAAUCCCAGAACGGGGUCACUUGGAGAGAGAGAAUGAUUUCCGGGGCUUCUAUUAAUUUGAUGCCAAUCCCUAAUCCUCAUCAUUUUUUCGUUUUAAGAAUUCAUGAGAUCGUCAAGUUGCAUAUCCAAAACUACACAUCUUUCCAAGCUCUAGAUUCCCGCAUUACCUUUCUAAACUCUAGAUUCCCGCGUUAUUCUAAACUCUAAAUUCCCGCAUUACCUUGCACAUCUUUCUAAACUCUAGAUUCCCGCAUUACCUUCCUCACAAACUUGACGUGGAGAGAGGAGAAUUUUCAUCGAAAUUUCCAUAGGAAUAAUGGAGAAAUAAGGAAUAGAAGUUCUAAUUAAGACAUAUCUGAGCAUUUUCAUUAACUAUGUAAUUCAAUAAUGUGCUUUUUUUUUUUUCUUUCUUUCUAUUACCAAUUUCCUUAUAGUUUCAUCGCAUAGAUUCCGCAUAAUAAAACGGCAGAAAAUUCAUCAUUAUUAUCAUCAUCAUUUAACGCUUACCCCAAUUAUUUGAGAUCGUUUACGUGAGUCAUGCUUAUCCAUUCUUUUCUAUAAAGUGUCAU